GCCUCCUUGGCACAGUUGGUAGUGCGUUGGUCUCAUAGUCAAUAAUCUAUGACCAUUAUUAUUAAAUGGGUCAUCCAAAAGUCGCAAGUUCGAGCCUUGCAGGGGGCA